CCUACGGGGAGCAGCAGUGAGGAAUAUUGGUCAAUGGACGAGAGUCUGAACCAGCCAAGUAGCGUGAAGGAUGACUGCCCUAUAGGUUGUAAACUUCUUUUAUAUGGGAAUAAAAUGUUCCACGUGUGGGAUUUUGUAUGUACCAUAUGAAUAAGGAUCGGCUAACUCCGUGCCAGCAGCCGCGGUAAUACGGAGGAUCCGAGCGUUAUCCGGAUUUAUUGGGUUUAAAGUGAGCGUAGGUGGAUUGUUAAGUCAGUUGUGAAAGUUUGCGGCUCAACCGUAAAAUUGCAGUUGAAACUGGCAGUCUUGAGUACAGUAGAGGUGGGCGGAAUUCGUGGUGUAGCGGUGAAAUGCUUAGAUAUCACGAAGAACUCCGAUUGCGAAGGCAGUUCACUGGACUGCAACUGACACUGAGGCUCGAAAGUGUGGGUAUCAAACAGGAUUAGAUACCCGAGUAGUC
rnacentral:rRNA from 1 species